AAAGGGAGACCUAAUUCAGGUAGGAGACGAAAAAAAAGUAGUCGCUACCAAGAAUCAAUCCCAAAAGGUCGGAGCGAGGCAAAAUUGGCUUUCAAACUAGGUUCUGGGUUCACACAAGACCUGAAUCAGGAACAAGGGCUAUUAGCUCAGGUGGUUAGAGCGCACCCCUGAUAAGGGUGAGGUCCCUGGUUCGAGUCCAGGAUGGCCCACCUGCACAGGUGGCAAAAACAAGAGAAGCUCCGAAUCAGCACCUUAUCUUACUGACAUAGUAAGAGAGAAUGCUGGCUCUGAGUAAAGAGUCCAGAGGAACCUUGAAAACUGCAUAGAGCUAGGUGAAAAAGCCAAAAAAGAAGACCGCAAG
rnacentral:tRNA from 1 species